CAGUGCUAAAUAAACAGAUGCAUUUAGUUGAGCCUAAGGCCAGUGAGAUGGGUUUGGGAGUGGUAAGGUGAGGGCAAGUCUUUGCCCUACUGCUAUGCCUGGCCAAAUGUGGGACAUACUUCCCCCCUCCAUUGAUUGAUAUGCCUUAGGAUGGGUUAGAUUCCAUCCUUACUAAGUUGGGGUAACAGCCAUAUAUUUAUGGUCCGUUGCUGGUUGAAUUCCAUUCUAACGGAAAAGUUAGUUCUAACUGUGGAGAGCUGCCACCUUCAGGACAACCUGAGAUCUCAUCAAGGGCUCAGAGAAAUAAAAUUCACUGAAUGGCAGAAAUAGAACUACUUUGACUGCUGGCUACUUAGUGGAGUCUUUGAUGCUUCCAAGAUGUGUUGUCAAAGGAGGAGAUCAUUUCAGAGGAAAAGAGAAGAUGUGGUCUUCUCCUUUGAAGACUAUAUAUUAUAAUACAACAUAAAGAGGUACGUGAAAAUAGGAUGUUUGAAAUUCAAAUUUUUUGACAAUAAAGAGAUCCAAAUGGAAACCUUUCAAAGCCAUACAAAAUCAAAGAUUUCAGUGUUUAGAGAUGUUGGAGUGAAUAGAAGAUGCCGCAAUUGAAAGAAGACGUCCUGUCUCAGUAGUGUUACAAACUAACUAUAUGAGUAAUAUAGUCGAGAUCUAUUUUCUCACCUGUAAAAUUAAGAGGUUUGUAUGGAAAUGCUUCCAUCAUUCAUGGUCAUAGCAAGCUCUAAAACUAUUAAUUAAAAUUAUUCAGUGAUCAUU